CGGGGCUACUGCUCUGUAAUUGGCAUGGGGGCGACCUUCACCCUCGCCCGAGUACCCAUUGGAGGGCAAGUCUGGUGCCAGCAGCCGCGGUAAUUCCAGCUCCAAUAGCGUAUAUUAAACUUGUUGCAGUUAAGAAGCUCGUAGUUGUACUUUAUGUCCCUCGCGUGGUCCUUCCUCGCUAGGACGCCUCGUUACUUUGAGAAAAUUAGAGUGUUUCAAGCAGGUUUCGCCUGUAUAAUUGAGCAUGGAAUAACCUUGUAUGACCCUGUCGUACCGUUGGUUGACUUUGGGUAAUGGUUAAUAGGAACGGUUGGGGGCAUUCGUACUCGACUGUCAGAGGUGAAAUUCUUAGAUUUGUCGAUGACGCACGACUGCGAAAGCAUUUGCCAAGGACGCUUCCAUUAAUCAAGAAC
rnacentral:rRNA from 1 species